GCGGCACCUCUUCCACACUCGCUACCAGUUCGAUGUCCUCCGCGGCUGCCAGGUCGGCGCUGGCCUCCAUCGACGUCCGCAGGCCUCCUACACACCAGUCCCUAUUGUUUGGGGCCGGUGAACGGAGGGAACAACAGGCAUGAAGCUCGCAGGACGCGCCUCAUGAAGCGCUCGACGGCGCUAUGUAGGUGGCCUUGGUUUAUGAGGGCGGUUGGAAACUUUCCGGCACCUGAGCUGGAGAUUUCUGUGGACCGCCGCCGAGCCCGGUGGCCGCAGUCUCGGCACCAAGAGCGUCGGGCACCAGUGCGUGUCGAGGACAAGUCGAGAGAUCGAAACGAGCAUUUGCUUCCCUGAACCCGUUCCUCACUGCUGCGGAGACAUUCUCAAUCGAGUUGCAGCAUACGAAACAAGUUGGGUGUAUACGACGACCUGUUUAAACUCUCUGCUGUGUUCCGAACAGAAGCGGAUAUGCUGAUUGCGAUCUGGUCCGUGAUGGAACAAGCACUGAACGGAAGAUCCAGGCGGGAGAGCAAGCCGAGACACUUUGACAAGCGAACGGUCUCUUUGUGCGAAAUGGUGACGCACCCUCCAUCGGAGGCGAUCGAUGCGAGGACUGAAUUCCGAGUCCAAGGGCCCCCUUCCUUACAAACUGAAGAGACGGGAGCGCCCGGAAGCGCAUCCCGUGAGCGAUGUCGUGCUGCUGCUGUCGAGUGUCGACGCGUCGCUAGCCACAAAGAGGGAAGGGUGGGUCGUACGAACGGAGUGGGUUCCAAUUUGACCUGAGGACUUCGUUGAAGUUUCGGAGUGUGCUUGAGAGCAAGUCGUCACGGGUCGAUGUCGAGCUUUUCUUCUUGUGAGUGUUGCUGCGCGAGGUGCAGCGCACACGAGCUGCGCUCAUGUAGAAAGAUCGAUAAUUUGUAGAAUGGGUGAUUUGAGCCUGCUACGCGUCAGAAAAGGAGAAGAGCAGAGGCUUGUACACAUGAGUUGGAUGAUGGCAUCGGUUGUUUUACGGACCGCUGUUCAGCGCGGUCUUGGAUGGUCUUGAUUCGAAUGGCGAUCACAAAUCCCAGCGGCAAAGCGUCGAGGGAUCAUACCCCGAAGAACCGACCGGGAAUCCUAAAACCGCGCAUCGACGCAUUCUCUUUUCCUGCUGCACAUUGAAUCCCGCUGCGACACAUCUAAAAAAAGUUCGGAGAAAUAUCGAGAUGAAGGACCAGAGCGAGCUGGUCAGCGCUCCAUUUUAACCUGACGCGAGCGUCGAUCAACACUGAGCAGGGAAUGGAGGUACGGGAAGGGACCUACCGGGCAGUCGAGGUUUACGCUUCCGAUAACGACAGCGUCAACGUACCCAGAAUGAUCUGGCUCCGUGCAUCGACCCUAAAUCAUCGAAAAUAGCAGCCAUCCACCUCCACUGUGCAUACGUGGUUGACACCCGAUGCACGUGUGCGCUGCCCUUGUGCACAAAUCCAUGCUCAUCCGUGACCUUGCAGCACACUUUUGAACUACAGAUCCUAUUAGAGUCGCGUCAUUUUCGCACACAGUGUGCCGGAUGACCAUCAAGACUUUCCGUAGACCUCCUGGAACACUCGCUAUCCCCAGGGUCGGGUGGGUUUCGCUUUCGAUCGUUAGCGUUCGUAGGGAAACUGUGACGAAUCGACUGCUAUGUCGAUGCCUCGAGCCAGAGAUCGCUACCGCGCCCUCCACGGAUAGCGCGAGCUGCAUAGUAUGAGUACUCUUAUCGAGGCACGAUCCAGAAAAACCCGGGCUAUCGGCGGCGAGUGUGCAAUCGACGCCGAGUUUCUUUUCGUUGACGACUUUUCAACUCUUCUCUUUUCUGCAACGUUGCGUUAUGGAGGUAUCGAGGGAGGAAUCGGCUGUGCAAAAUGCGACGGACUGGAGGCAGGUACCGGUGGCGUUCGCGCAGUUUCUGCGCAUACUGCAAGCUCCGUUUCUCGCGCACCAGCAGUUGCCGCAACGGUUCGGCGGCGUUCGUCUUCCAAACUCGGAGAUCGCCAUCGUCACUAGCACUGAGAAUGAAGCGCGCGUCGCUGGUAUAUCGCACUCGGAACACA
rnacentral:misc_RNA from 1 species